rnacentral:rRNA from 1 species
GACGAACGCUGGCGGCGUGCUUAACACAUGCAAGUCGAACGAUGAAGCUAGAGCUUGCUCUGGUGGAUUAGUGGCGAACGGGUGAGUAACACGUGAGUAACCUGCCCCGAACUCUGGGAUAACUGCUGGAAACGGUAGCUAAUACCGGAUAUGACCAAUGAAGGCAUCUUCUGUUGGUGGAAAGAAUUUCGGUUCGGGAUGGACUCGCGGCCUAUCAGCUUGUUGGUGAGGUAACGGCUCACCAAGGCGACGACGGGUAGCCGGCCUGAGAGGGUGAUCGGCCACACUGGGACUGAGACACGGCCCAGACUCCUACGGGAGGCAGCAGUGGGGAAUAUUGCACAAUGGGCGCAAGCCUGAUGCAGCAACGCCGCGUGAGGGACGACGGCCUUCGGGUUGUAAACCUCUUUUAGUAGGGAAGAAGCGAAAGUGACGGUACCUGCAGAAAAAGCACCGGCUAACUACGUGCCAGCCGCCGCGGUAA